rnacentral:rRNA from 1 species
CCAAUAGACUAGUCGAACAAUCUGGAAAGAUUGGCCAGAGACGGUGAUAGCCCGGUACACGAAAGUUUAUUGGCUCGCUGGGUAGGUUCCUGAGUAUCGCGGGACACGGGAAAUCCCGCGAGAAACUACGAGGACCAUCUCGUAAGGCUAAAUACUCCCUGGCGACCGAUAGUGAACCAGUACCGUGAGGGAAAGGUGAAAAGAACCCCUGUUAGGGGAGUGAAAUAGAACCUGAAACCGUGUGCGUACAAGCAGUGGGAGCACAGGCUUUAAGCCGGUGUGACUGCGUACCUUUUGUAUAAUGGGUCAGCGACUUACAUCUCAGUGGCAAGCUUAACCAUUUAGGGGAGGCGUAGCGAAAGCGAGUCUUAAUAGGGCGUCUUAGUCGCUGGGAGUAGACCCGAAACCGGACGAUCUAGCCAUGGCCAGGUUGAAGGUCGGGUAAUACCGACUGGAGGACCGAACCAACUGACGUUGAAAAGUCAGUGGAUGAGCUGUGGCUAGGAGUGAAAGGCUAAUCAAGUCCGGAGAUAGCUGGUUCUCCCCGAAAACUAUUUAGGUAGUGCCUCGUGUCUCACUUCUGGGGGUAGAGCACUGUUAUGGCUAGGGCCACGUCUAGUGGUACCAAACCAUUGCAAACUCCGAAUACCAGAAAGUGCAAUCACGGGAGACAGACGGCGGGAGAUAAGUUUCGUCGUCGAAAGGGAAACAGCCCAGACCGCCAGCUAAGGUCCCAAAAUCACAGCUCAGUGGAAAACGAUGUGGGAAGGCCCAGACAGCCAGGAGGUUGGCUUAGAAGCAGCCACCCUUUAAAGAAAGCGUAAUAGCUCACUAGUCGAGUCGGCCUGCGCGGAAGAUAUAACGGGGCUAAAUGUGUAACCGAAGCUGCGGAUGCGUGCUUGCACGCAUGGUAGAGGAGCGUUCUGUAAGCCUGCGAAGGUGAAUCGAGAGGUUUGCUGGAGGUAUCAGAAGUGCGAAUGCUGACAUGAGUAACGACAAGGGGAGUGAAAAACUCCCCCGCCGGAAGACCAAGGUUUCCUGUCCCAUGUUAAUCAGGACAGGGUUAGUCGGCCCCUAAGGCGAGGCAGAAAUGCGUAGUCGAUGGAAAACGGGUUAAUAUUCCCGUACUUGUUAUAACUGCGAUGGAGGGACGGAGUAGGCUAGGCGAUCGCGGCGAUGGUUGUCCGCGUUUAAGCUCGUAGGCUGGGGGAUUAGGCAAAUCCGGUUCCCUAAGGCUGAGAAGCGAAUACGAGUCCUCUUUUGGACGAAGUCGUUGAUGCCAUGCUUCCAAGAAAAGCUUCUAAGCUUCAGGUUAUAACAAACCGUACCCCAAACCGACACAGGUGGUCAGGUAGAGAAUACCAAGGCGCUUGAGAGAACUCGGGUGAAGGAACUAGGCAAAAUGGUACCGUAACUUCGGGAGAAGGUACGCUCCUCAUGGUGAUUGGACUUGCUCCAUGAGCUGAGGGGAGUCGAAGUGACCAGGUGGCUGCAACUGUUUAUCAAAAACAUAGCACUCUGCAAACUCGUAAGAGGACGUAUAGGGUGUGACGCCUGCCCGGUGCCGGAAGGUUAAUUGAUGGGGUUACCUGACCUCUUAAUUGCUUUGAGCUGCAAGGCAAAGACAUAAGCGAGCAAAGGAGUUUACAUACCAGUAAAUGACUGCGCGAGGGUUGUCUUUAACGCCGCAGAUCAGAGUAAUUAAGUGGUCAGGGAAGCUCUUGAUCGAAGCCCCGGUAAACGGCGGCCGUAACUAUAACGGUCCUAAGGUAGCGAAAUUCCUUGUCGGGUAAGUUCCGACCUGCACGAAUGGCGUAAUGAUGGCCACGCUGUCUCCACCCGAGACUCAGUGAAAUUGAAUUUGCGGUUAAGAUGCCGUAUACCCGCGGCUAGACGGAAAGACCCCGUGAACCUUUACUAUAGCUUCACAGUGGACUCUGAUAUUACUUGUGUAGGAUAGCUGGGAGGCUUUGAAACUUAGGCGCUAGCUUAGGUGGAGCCAAUCUUGAAAUACCAGCCUGGUACUGUUGGGGUUCUAACUCUGGACCAUUAUCUGGUUCGAGGACAUUGUGUGGUGGGUAGUUUGACUGGGGCGGUCUCCUCCCAAAGAGUAACGGAGGAGCACGAAGGUGCGCUAAGCAUGGUCGGAAAUCAUGCGGUUAGUGUAAUGGCAUAAGCGCGCUUGACUGCGAGACUGACAAGUCGAGCAGGUACGAAAGUAGGUCAUAGUGAUCCGGUGGUUCUGUAUGGAAGGGCCAUCGCUCAACGGAUAAAAGGUACUCCGGGGAUAACAGGCUGAUACCGCCCAAGAGUUCACAUCGACGGCGGUGUUUGGCACCUCGAUGUCGGCUCAUCACAUCCUGGGGCUGAAGCCGGUCCCAAGGGUAUGGCUGUUCGCCAUUUAAAGUGGUACGCGAGCUGGGUUCAGAACGUCGUGAGACAGUUCGGUCCCUAUCUGCCGUGGGCGUUGGAGAUUUGAGGAAAGCUGCUUCUAGUACGAGAGGACCGAAGUGGACGAACCUCUGGUGUUCGGGUUGUAUCGCCAGAUGCAUUGCCCGGUAGCUACGUUCGGACGGGAUAAGCGCUGAAAGCAUCUAAGCGCGAAGCCUCUUCCAAGAUUAGAUCUCCCUGGGGCCUUGAGCCCCCUAAAGAGCCGUUCAAGACCAGGACGUUGAUAGGCAGGGUGUGUAAGUGCUGCGAGGCAUUGAGCUAACCUGUACUAAUUGCUCGUGAGGCUUGACCAU